UCCGGUAUGGUGUAACGGCUAACAUUGCCGCCUUUCAUGAGAGCGCGGAUGGUAAGAUGAACUCUCGCGGCAGCUCGGGGUUCGAUUCCCCGUACCGGAA